rnacentral:rRNA from 1 species
GUAGGGAAUCUUGCACAAUGGGCGAAAGCCUGAUGCAGCGACGCCGCGUGCGGGAUGACGGCCCUCGGGUUGUAAACCGCUUUCAGCAGGGACGAAAUUGACGGUACCUGCAGAAGAAGCCCCGGCCAACUACGUGCCAGCAGCCGCGGUAAUACGUAGGGGGCAAGCGUUGUCCGGAUUUAUUGGGCGUAAAGAGCUCGUAGGCGGUUCGACAAGUCGGAUGUGAAAUCUCCACGCUCAACGUGGAGGGGCCAUUCGAAACUGUCGUGACUUGAGUCCGGUAGGGGAGUGUGGAAUUCCCGGUGUAGCGGUGAAAUGCGCAGAGAUCGGGAGGAACACCCGUAGCGAAGGCGGCACUCUGGGCCGUGACUGACGCUGAGGAGCGAAAGCGUGGGGAGCAAACAGGAUUAGAAACCCGGGUAGUCC